GACGAACGCUGGCGGCGUGCUUAACACAUGCAAGUCGAACGGAAAGGCCCUGCUCUUGUGGGUUGCUCGAGUGGCGAACGGGUGUGUAACACGUGAGUAUCCUGCCCUUGACUUUGGGGUAACUUCAGGAAACUGGGGCUAAUACCGCAUAUGAGCUCCUGCUGCAUGUGGGUGGUUGGAAAGUUUCGGCGGUUGGGGAUGGACUCGCUGCUUAUGAGCUUGUUGGUGGGGUAGUGGCUUUCCAAGGCUUUGACGGGUAGCCGGCCUGAGAGGGUAAACGGCCACAAGGGGACUGAGAUACGGAGCAGAAUGGUACGGGAGGCAGCAGUGGGGAGUAUUGCGCAGUGGGGGGAAGCCUGAUGCAGAAACGCCGCGUGCGUGAUGCCGGGUUUCGGGUUGUAAACAGCUUUGGCAUGAGACGAAGCGGUAGUGACGGUAAUGGGUAAAGAAGCACCGGCUAACUACGUG
rnacentral:rRNA from 1 species